rnacentral:rRNA from 1 species
GGAUGAACGCUGGCGGCGUGCCUAAUACAUGCGAGUCGUACGAACAGCGGAAAGUGCUUGCACUUUCCAAGUAAGUGGCGAACGGGUGAGUAACACGUGAAUAACCUACCUCAAAGUCUGGGAUAACCAUUGGAAACAGUGACUAAUACCGGAUAAAACCCAAGUGCACAUGCACUAAGGUUAAAAGCUGCGUUUGCAGCGCUUUAAGAUGGAUUCGCGGUGCAUUAGUUAGUUGGUGAGGUAAAGGCUCACCAAGACGAUGAUGCAUAGCCGAGUUGAGAGACUGACCGGCCACAUUGGGACUGAGACACGGCCCAAACUCCUACGGGAGGCUGCAGUAGGGAAUCUUCCACAAUGGGCGCAAGCCUGAUGGAGCAACGCCGCGUGUGUGAUGAAGACUUUCGGGUCGUAAAGCACUGUUGUAUGGGAAGAAUGGGUUUAAGAGGAAAUGCUUAAACAGUGACGGUACCAUACCAGAAAGGGACGGCUAAAUACGUGCCAGCAGCCGCGGUAAUACGUAUGUCCCGAGCGUUAUCCGGAUUUAUUGGGCGUAAAGCGAGCGCAGACUGUUGCUUAAGUCUGAAGUGAAAGCCCACAGCUCAACUGUGGAAUGGCUUUGGAACUGGGCAACUUGAGUGCAGUAGAGUAAGUGAACUCCAUGUGUAGCGGUGGGAUGCGUAGAUAUAUGGAAGAACACCAGUGGCGAAGGCGGCUUACUGGACUGUAACUGACGUUGAGGCUCGAAAGUGUGGGUAGCAAACGGGAUUAGAUACCCUGGUAGUCCACACCGUAAACGAUGGAUACUAGUUGUUAGAGGGUUUCCGCCCUUUAGUGACGAAGCAAACGCAUUAAGUAUCCCGCCUGGGGAGUACGACCGCAAGGUUGAAACUCAAAGGAAUUGACGGGGACCCGCACAAGCGGUGGAGCAUGUGGUUUAAUUCGAAGCAACGCGAAGAACCUUACCAGGUCUUGACAUCCUUUGAAGGUACUAGAGAUAGUGCUGUCUUCUUCGGAAGCAAAGUGACAGGUGGUGCAUGGCCGUCGUCAGCUCGUGUCGUGAGAUGUUGGGUUAAGUCCCGCAACGAGCGCAACCCUUAUGUUUAGUUGCCAGCAUUCAGUUGGGCACUCUAGACAGACUGCCGGUGACAAACCGGAGGAAGGCGGGGACGACGUCAGGUCAUCAUGCCCCUUAUGACCUGGGCUACACACGUGCUACAAUGGCGUAUACAACGAGCAGCAAACCUGUGAAGGUAAGCGAAUCUCUUAAAGUACGUCUCAGUUCGGAUUGUAGUCUGCAACUCGACUACAUGAAGUCGGAAUCGCUAGUAAUCGCGGAUCAGCAUGCCGCGGUGAAUACGUUCCCGGGUCU